UACGGGGGGGGCAAGCGUUGUUCGGAAUUACUGGGCGUAAAGGGCUCGUAGGUCGCCAACUAAGUCAGACGUGAAAUCCCUCGGCUUAACCGGGGAACUGCGUCUGAUACUGGAUGGCUUGAGUUUGGGAGAGGGACGCGGAAUUCCAGGUGUAGCGGUGAAAUGCGUAGAUAUCUGGAGGAAUACCGGUGGCGAAGGCGGCAUCCUGGACCGACAUUGACGCUGAGGAGCGAAAGCUAGGGGAGCAAACGGG
rnacentral:rRNA from 1 species